CCUGGCUUAGGAUGAACGCUAGCGACAGGCCUAACACAUGCAAGUCAGGGGCAGCACAAGGAGCAAUCUGAGGUGGCGACCGGCGCACGGGUGAGUAACACGUAUGCAACCUGCCUGUAAGCGGGGAAUAACCCGUUGAAAGACGGACUAAUACCGCAUAAUACUAAAUUACUGCAUGGUAAUUUAUUUAAACAUUUAUGGCUUACAGAUGGGCAUGCGCAUGAUUAGCUAGUUGGAGAGGUAACGGCUCCCCAAGGCAACGAUCAUUAGGGGUUCUGAGAGGAAGGUCCCCCCACACUGGUACUGAGACACGGACCAGACUCCUACGGGAGGCAGCAGUGAGGAAUAUUGGUCAAUGGACGAGAGUCUGAACCAGCCAAGUCGCGUGCAGGAAGAAUGUCCUAUGGAUUGUAAACUGCUUUUGCAGGGGAAUAAAGUGCAUCACGUGUGAUGUUUUGUAUGUACUCUGCGAAUAAGGAUCGGCUAACUCCGUGCCAGCCGCCGC
rnacentral:rRNA from 1 species